GAGAGAAGCUUGCUUCUCUUGAGAGCGGCGGACGGGUGAGUAAUGCCUAGGAAUCUGCCUGGUAGUGGGGGAUAACGUCCGGAAACGGACGCUAAUACCGCAUACGUCCUACGGGAGAAAGCAGGGGACCUUCGGGCCUUGCGCUAUCAGAUGAGCCUAGGUCGGAUUAGCUAGUUGGUGAGGUAAUGGCUCACCAAGGCGACGAUCCGUAACUGGUCUGAGAGGAUGAUCAGUCACACUGGAACUGAGACACGGUCCAGACUCCUACGGGAGGCAGCAGUGGGGAAUAUUGGACAAUGGGCGAAAGCCUGAUCCAGCCAUGCCGCGUGUGUGAAGAAGGUCUUCGGAUUGUAAAGCACUUUAAGUUGGGAGGAAGGGUACUUACCUAAUACGUGAGUAUUUUGACGUUACCGACAGAAUAAGCACCGGCUAACUCUGUGCCAGCAGCCGCGGUAAUACAGAGGGUGCAAGCGUUAAUCGGAAUUACUGGGCGUAAAGCGCGCGUAGGUGGUUCGUUAAGUUGGAUGUGAAAUCCCCGGGCUCAACCUGGGAACUGCAUC
rnacentral:rRNA from 2 species